rnacentral:rRNA from 1 species
CUUGGGUUGUAAACCCCUUUUCUCAGGGAAGAAAAAAUGACGGUACCUGAGGAAUAAGCAUCGGCUAACUCCGUGCCAGCAGCCGCGGUAAUACGGAGGAUGCAAGCGUUAUCCGGAAUGAUUGGGCGUAAAGCGUCUGUAGGUGGUUUGGCAAGUCUGCCGUUAAAGGUCGGGGCUCAACUCCGAAAAGGCGGUGGAAACUGCCAGACUAGAGUGUGGUAGGGGUAGAGGGAAUUCCCGGUGUAGCGGUGAAAUGCGUAGAUAUCGGGAAGAACACCGGUGGCGAAGGCGCUCUACUGGGCCACAACUGACACUGAGGGACGAAAGCUAGGGG